rnacentral:rRNA from 1 species
UACGUAGGGUUCAAGCGUUAUCCGGAAUCACUGGGCGUAAAGCGUGCGUAGGCGGAUUGUUAAGUGCAAUGCGAAAUCCUGUGGCUCAACCAUAUGGACUGUAUUGCAUACUGGCAAUCUGGAGGACAUGAGAGGCGAGUGGAAUUCCCGGUGUAGCGGUGAAAUGCGCAGAUAUCAGGAGGAACACCGGUGGCGAAGGCGCCACUCUGGGCCGGUACUGACGCUGAGGAGCGAAAGCGUGGGUAGCAAACAGG